GGGGAGUACGCCGGCAACGGUGAAACUCAAAGGAAUUGACGGGGGCCCGCACAAGCGGAGGAACAUGUGGUUUAAUUCGAUGAUACGCGAGGAACCUUACCCGGGCUCAAACGACGGAUGGAUGUUUUUGAAAGAAGGCAGCCCUUCGGGGCAUCCGUCGAGGUGCUGCAUGGUUGUCGUCAGCUCGUGCCGUGAGGUGUCGGCUUAAGUGCCAUAACGAGCGCAACCCCCAUCGCCAGUUACCAGCAAGUAAAGUUGGGGACUCUGGCGAGACUGCCGGCGCAAGCUGUGAGGAAGGCGGGGAUGACGUCAAAUCAGCACGGCCCUUACGUCCGGGGCGACACACGUGUUACAAUGGCAGGUACAGAGAGAAGCGAUGCGGCGACGCAGAGCGGAACUUCAAAGCCUGUCUCAGUUCGGAUUGGAGUCUGCAACCCGACUCCAUGAAGCUGGAUUCGCUAGUAAUCGCGCAUCAGCCACGGCGCGGUGAAUACGUUCCCGGGCCUUGUACACACCGCCCGUCAAGCCAUGGAAGCCGGGAGUGCCUGAAGUGUGCAACCGCAAGGAGCGCCCUAAGGUAAAACCGGUGACUGGGGCUAAGUCGUAACAAGGUAACCGU
rnacentral:rRNA from 1 species